rnacentral:rRNA from 1 species
ACGGGAGGCAGCAGUGAGGAAUAUUGGUCAAUGGACGAGAGUCUGAACCAGCCAAGUAGCGUGCAGGAUGACGGCCCUAUGGGUUGUAAACUGCUUUUGUACGGGAAUAAAGUGACCUACGUGUAGGUUUUUGCAUGUACCGUAAGAAUAAGGACCGGCUAAUUCCGUGCCAGCAGCCGCGGUAAUACGGAAGGUCCGGGCGUUAUCCGGAUUUAUUGGGUUUAAAGGGAGCGUAGGCGGCCGAUUAAGCGUGCUGUGAAAUGGCGGGGCCCAACCCCGUCCCUGCAGCGCGAACUGGUUGGCUUGGGUACACGCAAGGCAGGCGGAAUUUGUGGUGUAGCGGUGAAAUGCUUAGAUAUCACGAAGAACCCCGAUUGCGAAGGCAGCUUGCCGGAGUGUUACCGACGCUGAAGCUCGAAGGUGCGGGUAUCGAACAGGAUUAGAUACCCUGGUA